GAUGAACGCUGGCGGCGUGCCUAAUACAUGCAAGUCGAGCGAACAGAUGAGGAGCUUGCUCCUCUGACGUUAGCGGCGGACGGGUGAGUAACACGUGGAUAACCUACCUAUAAGACUGGGAUAACUUCGGGAAACCGGAGCUAAUACCGGAUAAUAUUUUGAACCGCAUGGUUCAAUAGUAAAAGACGGUUUUGCUGUCACUUAUAGAUGGAUCCGCGCUGCAUUAGCUAGUUGGUAAGGUAACGGCUUACCAAGGCAACGAUGCAUAGCCGACCUGAGAGGGUGAUCGGCCACACUGGAACUGAGACACGGUCCAGACUCCUACGGGAGGCAGCAGUAGGGAAUCUUCCGCAAUGGGCGAAAGCCUGACGGAGCAACGCCGCGUGAGUGAUGAAGGUCUUCGGAUCGUAAAACUCUGUUAUUAGGGAAGAACAAAUGUGUAAGUAACUAUGCACGUCUUGACGGUACCUAAUCAGAAAGCCACGGCUAACUACGUG
rnacentral:rRNA from 1 species